rnacentral:rRNA from 1 species
UACAGAGGGUGCUAGCGUUGUUCGGAAUUAUUGGGCGUAAAGGGCGCGUAGGCGGCUCGGUGUGUCGGGUGUGAAAUCCCACCUCUCAAAGGUGGAAUUGCAUUCGAAACUACCAAGCUGGAGUACCGGAGAGGAUGGUGGAAUUCCUGGUGUAGAGGUGAAAUUCGUAGAUAUCAGGAGGAACACCGGUGGCGAAGGCGGCGUCCUGGACCAAUACUGACACUGAGGAGCGAAAGCCAGGGGAGCAAACGGG